rnacentral:siRNA from 1 species
AUAAGGUUAUGUUCUCCGGUGUCU